GCCGUUAGAUAUUCAUCCGUCCACAGUUAGACAAACUGUCUAUAAAUGGAGAUGAUUUAGUACUAUAGGUACUCUCACUAGAAGUGGCCGUUAGAUAUUCAUCUGUCCACAGUGAGACAAACUGUCUAUAAAUGGAGAUGAUUUAGUACUAUAGGUACUCUCACUAGAAGUGGCCGUUAGAUAUUCAUCUGUCCACAGUUAGACAAACUGUCUAUAAAUGGAGAUGAUUUAGUACUAUAGGUACUCACUAGAAGUGGCCGUUAGAUAUUCAUCUGUCCACAGUGAGACAAACUGUCUAUAAAUGGAGAUGAUUUAGUACUAUAGGUACUCUCACUAGAAGUGGCCGUUAGAUAUUCAUCUGUCCACAGUUAGACAAACUGUCUAUAAAUGGAGAUGAUUUAGUACUAUAGGUACUCUCACUAGAAGUGGCCGUUAGAUAUUCAUCUGUCCACAGUUAGACAAACUGUCUAUAAAUGGAGAUGAUUUAGUACUAUAGGUACUCUCACUAGAAGUGGCCGUUAGAUAUUCAUCUGUCCACAGUGAG